UUUGAUCCUGGCUCAGAACGAACGCUGGCGGCAGGCUUAACACAUGCAAGUCGAGCGCCCCGCAAGGGGAGCGGCAGACGGGUGAGUAACGCGUGGGAAUCUACCCUUGACUACGGAAUAACGCAGGGAAACUUGUGCUAAUACCGUAUGUGUCCUUCGGGAGAAAGAUUUAUCGGUCAAGGAUGAGCCCGCGUUGGAUUAGCUAGUUGGUGGGGUAAAGGCCUACCAAGGCGACGAUCCAUAGCUGGUCUGAGAGGAUGAUCAGCCACAUUGGGACUGAGACACGGCCCAAACUCCUACGGGAGGCAGCAGUGGGGAAUAUUGGACAAUGGGCGCAAGCCUGAUCCAGCCAUGCCGCGUGAGUGAUGAAGGCCCUAGGGUUGUAAAGCUCUUUCACCGGAGAAGAUAAUGACG
rnacentral:rRNA from 1 species